AACGUAGGUGGCAAGCGUUAUCCGGAUUUACUGGGCGUAAAGGGUGUGCAGGCGGGGUUGCAAGUGGUGUAUGAAAUCUCCCGGCUUAACCGGGAGGGGUUAUGCCAGACUGCAAUUCUAGAGGACGAGAGAGGGGGGUGGAAUUCCGGGUGUAGUGGUGAAAUGCGUAGAGAUCCGGAGGAACACCGGUGGCGAAGGCGGAUCUCUGGGCCAUUACUGACGCUGAGGAGCGAAAGCGUGGGGAGCGAACAGG
rnacentral:rRNA from 1 species